GUAAAAUAUUACAGCACACAGUUGACAUCAACAUGCAAAUGAAAAAAGAUUUUUAUUUUAUAUUAUCAUGCAUUAAUAUGAAUAAAAACCAUCAAAGUAUGGUUAAUACUGUUAGCAUAAAACCUACCAUUGCCUGCUUCUUCCAUGUCUCAAUGUUCUUUCGCUGCGCCUUUGUGAAAUGAUCCCAAACCUUCUUGUGCGACGCAGAAGUAAACACUUUCUCGAUCUGGGUGACUUUAUACAAGGACAAUAACACAGGCGGUUAACAUAUUAAGAAAAAAAAAGAAAAAAA